rnacentral:miRNA from 1 species
AAGAAUGUAGAUUCCUGGCCCCGCAUCACAUCUGCUGAAUUCCAAUCUCGGGAGGUAGGUGGGGCCCAGGAAUCUGCAUUUUUAGCUGUCUC